rnacentral:rRNA from 1 species
GAUUAACGCUAGCGGAAGGCAUAAUACAUGCAAGUCGAACGGGAUAGAACUUAGCAAUAGGUUCUUGAGAGUGGCGCACGGGUGCGGAACACGUACGCAACCUUCCUUUAACUGGAAGAUAGCCCACCGAAAGGUGGAUUAAUACUCCAUAACAUAUUGAAGAGGCAUCUCUUUGAUAUUAAAGCUCCGGCGGUUAAAGAUGGGCGUGCGUCUGAUUAGGUAGUUGGCGGGGUAACGGCCCACCAAGCCUUCGAUCAGUAGCUGAUGUGAGAGCAUGAUCAGCCACACGGGCACUGAGACACGGGCCCGACUCCUACGGGAGGCAGCAGUAGGGAAUUUUCCACAAUGGGCGAAAGCCUGAUGGAGCAACGCCGCGUGCAGGAUGAAGGCCUUCGGGUCGUAAACUGCUUUUAUGUGCGAAGAAUAUGACGGUAACACAUGAAUAAGGGUCGGCUAACUACGUG